rnacentral:rRNA from 1 species
AGUGAACGCUGGCGGUAGGCCUAACACAUGCAAGUCGAACGGCAGCACAGUAAGAGCUUGCUCUUACGGGUGGCGAGUGGCGGACGGGUGAGGAAUACAUCGGAAUCUACUUUUUCGUGGGGGAUAACGUAGGGAAACUUACGCUAAUACCGCAUACGACCUACGGGUGAAAGCAGGGGAUCUUCGGACCUUGCGCGAUUGAAUGAGCCGAUGUCGGAUUAGCUAGUUGGCAGGGUAAAGGCCCACCAAGGCGACGAUCCGUAGCUGGUCUGAGAGGAUGAUCAGCCACACUGGAACUGAGACACGGUCCAGACUCCUACGGGAGGCAGCAGUGGGGAAUAUUGGACAAUGGGCACAAGCCUGAUCCAGCCAUACCGCGUGGGUGAAGAAGGCCUUCGGGUUGUAAAGCCCUUUUGUUGGGAAAGAAAAGCAGCAGGUUAAUACCCCGCUGUUCUGACGGUACCCAAAGAAUAAGCACCGGCUAACUUCGUG